rnacentral:rRNA from 1 species
AGUGAACGCUGGCGGCAGGCCUAACACAUGCAAGUCGAACGGCAGCACAGUAAGAGCUCGCCCUUACGGUUGGCGAGUGGCGGACGGGUGAGGAAUACAUCGGAAUCUACUUUUUCGUGGGGGACAACGUAGGGACGCUUAUGCUAACACCGCAUACGAUCUACGGGUGAAAUCAGGGGAUCUUCGCAGCUUGCCCGUCUGAAUGAGCCGAUGUCGGAUUAGCUAGUCGGCUGGGUAAAGGCCCACCAAGGCGACGAUCCGUAGCUGGUCUGAGAGGAUGAUCGGCCACACUGGAACUGAGACACGGUCCAGACUCCUACGGGAGGCAGCAGUGGGGAAUAUUGCACAAUGGGCGCAAGCCUGAUCCAGCCAUGCCGCGUGAGUGAAGAAGGCCUUCGGGUUGUAAAGCCCUUUUGUUAGGAAAGAAAAGCAGCAGGAUAAUACCCGGCUGUUCUGACGGUACCCAAAGAAUAAGCACCGGCUAACUUCGUG